rnacentral:pre_miRNA from 1 species
GUAGUAUUCCCUCCGUCCCAAAAUUCUUGUCUUACAUUUGUUUAGAUACAGAUGUAUCUAACACUAAAAUGUAACUAGAUACAUUCGUAUUUAGAUAAAUUUAAGACAAGAAUUUUAAGACGAAGGGAGUACAAA